rnacentral:rRNA from 1 species
UGGGGAAUAUUGGACAAUGGGCGCAAGCCUGAUCCAGCAAUGCCGCGUGUGUGAAGAAGGUCUUCGGAUUGUAAAGCACUUUCGGCGGGGACGAUGAUGACGGUACCCGCAGAAGAAGCCCCGGCUAACUUCGUGCCAGCAGCCGCGGUAAUACGAAGGGGGCUAGCGUUGCUCGGAAUUACUGGGCGUAAAGGGCGCGUAGGCGGUUUGGUCAGUCAGGCGUGAAAUUCCUGGGCUCAACCUGGGGGCUGCGCUUGAUACGGCUGGACUAGAGGAUGGAAGAGGCUCGUGGAAUUCCCAGUGUAGAGGUGAAAUUCGUAGAUAUUGGGAAGAACACCGGUGGCGAAGGCGGCGAGCUGGUCCAUAACUGACGCUGAGGCGCGAUAGCGUGGGGAGCAAACAGG